rnacentral:rRNA from 1 species
AGAGUUUGAUCAUGGCUCAGAUUGAACGCUGGCGGCAGGCUUAACACAUGCAAGUCGAGCGGGGAUUGGGUGCUUGCACCUAAUCUUAGCGGCGGACGGGUGAGUAAUGCUUAGGAAUCUGCCUAUUAGUGGGGGACAACAUUCCGAAAGGAAUGCUAAUACCGCAUACGUCCUACGGGAGAAAGCAGGGGAUCUUCGGACCUUGCGCUAAUAGAUGAGCCUAAGUCGGAUUAGCUAGUUGGUGGGGUAAAGGCCUACCAAGGCGACGAUCUGUAGCGGGUCUGAGAGGAUGAUCCGCCACACUGGGACUGAGACACGGCCCAGACUCCUACGGGAGGCAGCAGUGGGGAAUAUUGGACAAUGGGGGGAACCCUGAUCCAGCCAUGCCGCGUGUGUGAAGAAGGCCUUUUGGUUGUAAAGCACUUUAAGCGAGGAGGAGGCUACCUGGAUUAAUACUCUAGGAUAGUGGACGUUACUCGCAGAAUAAGCACCGGCUAACUCUGUGCCAGCAGCCGCGGUAAUACAGAGGGUGCGAGCGUUAAUCGGAUUUACUGGGCGUAAAGCGUGCGUAGGCGGCUGAUUAAGUCGGAUGUGAAAUCCCUGAGCUUAACUUAGGAAUUGCAUUCGAUACUGGUCAGCUAGAGUAUGGGAGAGGAUGGUAGAAUUCCAGGUGUAGCGGUGAAAUGCGUAGAGAUCUGGAGGAAUACCGAUGGCGAAGGCAGCCAUCUGGCCUAAUACUGACGCUGAGGUACGAAAGCAUGGGGAGCAAACAGGAUUAGAUACCCUGGUAGUCCAUGCCGUAAACGAUGUCUACUAGCCGUUGGGGCCUUUGAGGCUUUAGUGGCGCAGCUAACGCGAUAAGUAGACCGCCUGGGGAGUACGGUCGCAAGACUAAAACUCAAAUGAAUUGACGGGGGCCCGCACAAGCGGUGGAGCAUGUGGUUUAAUUCGAUGCAACGCGAAGAACCUUACCUGGCCUUGACAUAGUAGAAACUUU